GUGGAGCCUGCGGCUUGAUUGGACUCAACAUGGGGAGACUUACAAAGGGAGAAAAUCUUUAGGAC
rnacentral:rRNA from 1 species